CUAGAGUCAUGUUUGCGAGAGAUAUCUAUAAAUGGGCGAGAGGGUGGUAGCCUUAAGGMAAUUUCUUGGAGGAAAGUAGUUGAGACGUUAGAAAAGACACAUAAUUUUAUUGUGGACCAAAGACAAAUGAAAAACCAUUACGACUACCUCAAAGGCAAAUAUGGAGCUUGGUCAAAACUGAAAAACAAAACUGGAAAUAUUUAUGAUGCGUCUACGAACUCUUUUAAGCUGUCUGAAGAGGAAUGGCAAAUGGAAACAAAGUCCAAUAAAUAUGUUGAAAAGUUGAGGACUGCACCACUACCAUUUCCAGAUCUUUGUGUUCAACUUUUUGACGGAGUUGCUUCCACGGGCGUUAGAAGUUGGGGGCCGACCUCUUUUGUUCCUAAUCCUACAUGCAUUGCUCCCCAAACACAAGAAACACAAAGUUCAAAAACAUUGUCUACACGUGUUGCUCCUCAAAUACAAGAAACACAAGAGCAAUAAAGUUCAACAUUGCCUUCGGUACAAGAGUCUUCUUCGCGUUCUCAAUCUCAAAGAAAAAAACGAAAAAGUGUUCAACCAAGCAGUUCAGUGAAUGAAGAGGAGGUGUCUAAGAUUGUCACUUCUGUGCAAAAUGCUUUGGACAAACAACCCACGGAAUCUGAGGUGGGUGCUUGCAUUGAGAAACUGGAGAAAUUUGGGUGGGGAAGCCCGUUGUAUGAGGCAACACUUCAUYUUUUUAGCCUAGGCCCUGAUUAUAAGAAGAUUUGGUUGUGUUUGAAGGAGGAUAAGUGUGAGGGUUGGGUUAGGUUCACGGGACGUCAACUUGGGUUUAUAUAAUUAUUGCAGCGUUUGUUUAGACAUUAGAAGAAUAUACUUUUAUGCGCUCUUUUGAAACCUUAGAUGGUUKAUAUGCGUAUUAAACUUUUUGAUGCACUCUUUUGAAACCUUAGAURGUUUGAAUGAACACUAGAUAUUAUGAUGCGCUCUUUUGAAGUUUUAAA